CAAAUCAUAUCAAGAUUUUGUGUUAUAAACAUAAUGAAAUCACGAAACUUUGAAAUAUUAAACUACUAUUGAUUAAAAUAAGGUAGGUUCGGAAGAACUGCUGAAUCCAUAUUGAGUCGUAGCUGUUUGUGCGCUACUCUUAUCGCGUAUUGCAAUUUAAUCAAAUCUGGGCCACUUAUAUUCAAAUAUUUGUUAUUAUAGAUGCAAUUAAUUUGUUAAUAUUUGUUAAAAGUUUUAUAACAUAAAUAAAUAUGUUUAACAUUGUUAAACAUGUUGAUUCAUGAAUUUAUGCUUGAUUUGCUAAGUCUUGUUGAUUGGCUACGACCCUGCCGCGUUGUGACGUCAUCAGGCAACCCCAUUCACCCUCCCAAUGAGUCUGGUUACAGCACCAGCUGAUAUCGAGCAGGAAGACCCCGACCAAUACAUGCGAUGACCUACUGAUAUACACAUGGGAAAAGAGAUCUAUUGAGGGGACAUCUUCACUUUGAAUUUACCUUGAGCGAGCGAAAAUAUAGAUGAAACAGUUCCAUACCCUGACCUUGAAUGUAUUAGAUGUGUUCAAGCAAUUAUUUCAAUACAAUUGAAAUCCUCGACUAUGAUAAUAAAUCUCCAUUGAAGAAAGACAAGUCAAAGUGUUAUGAUAUCGACAGAUUAAUAAAAUUUCUGUAUUAUUAUUCUGACAAUUAUAGCGAAGUAUGGAAACAUUGAUCAAAAGUAUGUGCAUAUGGGAGGCUCUUCAACGACAUUUGAAACCACACGAGACGUUCGAUCAGCAGUAAAUAGGGCAGGGCGGCUGGAUAGACGGUAGGGGUGAGUCGCGUGAGGAACUAACAAGCGCUGCGUGACAUUGCAGGUCCUUAUGUAAUCGACAGAAACUAAAACGAAGAGAUUAUCCUUCUUUGUUGAUAUAAAAACAUUUCUGAUUAACACGAGGAGCAUCCCCUUGGUCACGGUACCACACGGUGCAGGGAGAACAGAAUUCGAAGAGUAUGAGAGAAUGCAGCGGAGGGAGGGGAGAAAGUGGGUCGCUCGAUAACCCUCGCGUGGGCCAGGUUCUAUGAACCAAAAUUCCAAAUUUUAACAAAUUGCAUCGAAAUUAACAUAAUUUUUCUU